rnacentral:misc_RNA from 1 species
GAUGAAGAACGUAGCGAAAUGCGAUAAGUAAUGUGAAUUGCAGAAUUCAGUGAAUCACCGAAUCUUUGAACGCAUCUUGCGCUCCUUGGUAUUCUGAGGAGCAUGCCUGUUUGAGUGUCAUUAAAUUCUCAACUACACUGACUUUGAAUUGGUGUGGCUUGGAUUUGGGGGGAAAAUUGUUGUGGGCUUUUUGUAUAGUCUGCUCCCCUGAAAUUGAUUAGCGGUACCUUUGUGGAACUGUCUACAGGUGUGAUAAUUAUCUACAUCUUAGACAUCUGCUGGAAUGCUGCUUUCUAAACCUUACUUGUAUUGACAAUCUUGACCUCAAAUCAGGUAGGACUACCCGCUGAACUUAAGCAUAUCAAUAAGCGGAGGA